rnacentral:RNase_P_RNA from 1 species
CGAGUAAGACAUGGGACCGCAUGAAUAAUACAUGAGGAAAGUCCGAGCUCCAUAGGGCAGAGUGCCGGGUAACGCCCGGUGGAGGCGACUCCAAGGAAAGUGCAACAGAAAUAAACCGCCGCUUAUGCGGUAAGGAUGGAAAGGCGAGGUAAGAGCUCACCGGCGGCUUGGCGACUUGACCGCCCUGUAAACCCCACUCGGUGCAAGAUUGGAAUGAGAGCAUUUAAUGGCUGCCCGCUACGCUCUUGGUAAUCGCUUGAGUCUAUAGGCAACUAUAGACCUAGAUAGAUGGUCCCACUUUGACAGAACUCGGCUUACGGCUUGCUCGAAUU